CAAUCUUUUGUCGCUAUCAUCCCCACAAGUCUUGAAAGGGGAGCCUUAUGAUCAAAAGGAACCCCCAAAAACCCUCUCAAACGCAUCGCUUUUGUCUGCCACUUUGAGGAUCCCAAACAAACCACACCACACUGGUUGUUCAUGGAUUCUGGGCUUCAGCAUCUCGCAUUGCGCUUCUUCAUUCUUCUCUGCUGCCUCUUUCAAGCCACCGCCGAGGAUGGUAGCUGGAAGAUAGCCACAGCCACGCUCUCCAGGGACAAGGACGGCUCCUCCUCUGUCACCACUGGAGGCGCUUGUGGGUAUGGGGAUCUGAGGCAGAGCAGCUAUGGCGGGUACAGCGCAGGCCUGAGCGGGAAGCUGUUCAACAGGGGAAGCAGCUGCGGAGCUUGCCUGGAAGUGCGGUGUGUGAACCACAUAAGAUGGUGCCUUCAAGGCAGCCCCUCCGUGGUGGUCACAGCCACAGAUUUCUGUCCUCCCAAUUCAGGCCUUUCCUCCGAUUACGGAGGUUGGUGCAACUUCCCAAAGGAGCAUUUGGAACUAUCUCAUGCGGCCUUCACAGGGAUUGCAGAAACCAGAGCCGAGAUAAUACCUGUGCAGUACAGGAGGGUCAAGUGUGGGCGGAGAGGCGGGGUGAGAUUCAGCUUGAACGGGAGCUCCCACUUCUUUCAGGUCUUGAUAAGCAAUGUGGGACUCGAUGGGGAAGUGGUGGGAGUGAAAGUGAAGGGGCAUACAACGGCUUGGAUUCCAAUGGCCCGAAACUGGGGACAGAACUGGCACUCCUCACUCGAUCUCAUCGGACAGUCUCUUUCUUUCGAAGUCACUCUCAUCGGCGGCAAAACCAUUGCCUCUUACGACGUGGCUCCCCCUUAUUGGCGCUUUGGAAUGACCUACCAAGGAAAGCAGUUCCUUUCGUGACUACCUCUCCUCUUUUCCUUUCUUUAUAUAAAGUUAUGAUUCACUUUCGGUGGUCAAACACAAUUUGUGGCCUUUAUCAUGACUUUUAAGACAUACUAGUAAUCACUUCAGUUCAAGGAAGCAGUAGCAGACAGUUUGAUAUCAGACGACCUGCGAAAGCCUACUAACAUUGCGGUACGGAAUUGGUCAGACAUUCUGGAGACUGCAGCCCGCGCAGACCUGAUGUUUAAAGAUGAAACCGCUGUGGUACGGAACAGGACAGGAUAAACUUGUUUGACAUCCCUAGUCCUACUCAAAACCAAACCAAAUAUCGCCUGUAUUUAAAUAAUUUACUGUGUUUUCUUCAACUAAAGCAACGUCUGAAAUCUAGCUCAGCCCAGUUAUGAAAAUUAUUGGACUCAGGCUUAGUACAUAAAUCCUAAAAAAAUAAUAUAUCUUUUAUGAAGCAAAAUCUUGAUAAUAUUCUACUUCUAUAUUUAUUUAUUUUUUAUUUGGGCAUAUAUUUUGGUAAUAAAAUUUUGUAGUUUUUUCUCUGAAUUAAAUUAUCCAUAUUUCUUA